AGAAGACAGCUCAAGACAAGGGCUCCUGCAGACCUGGGGUCAAUUCAGGCUCUCUGGUGACCUUGGCCAGGAGCUCUGCCCCUCCCUGGAUUCCAACCAUUUUGAUGCUGAAGGACAGUGUUGGGUGCCAGGUCAUCUGGGAGGUCCAGGAUGGAUGUGGGUGGGAGGAAGCCUUCAGGCCUCCUCUCCCUUCACCAGACCUCUGUCUGGGCUGAUUUGGGCAGAGAUCCUACCUAGCUUUGCCUCAGCUCCAGGGGACUAUUGUGGCGGUGAAUUAACCUGCUCUCCAGCUGCGGAAGCUGGUAAGAUGUGCGUGGGCCCAGGUAGGUCAUACAUUCCACUUUGAGUUACUGCUUUCUCCUGCUUGGGUACAGUAUAUAAAUUGCAUAGGAGGUAGCAAACUUGGAUUCCUUGCCUUGAGUAUCUGUGCCUCUCAAUUUCCUCCUUGUGAAAAAGGUAGGGGGAGGUCUGUAGUGAUGGUGUUGACACAGGAAAGUGACUCCCAGUGCUGGGAGCCACUUGUAGUCCAAGUGGGUCCUUAGUUUUGCACAAGAAAGAAUUCAGGAACAAAGUGACAGUGUAACAUGAAAGAUUUAUUGGGAAACUAUGGAAAGUCUGCUCCAUAGACAACAGGGGCAAGUUUUCCCUGCAGAAGAGAACUACACCCCUCUUCCUGUUGCCUUUCUAUUUAAGCAAAGGCUUAAUUAUAAGCUAAACAAGGUGUGGAAUAGUCUUGAGAGGGGUGUUGUUUUCCUGGAAUCAGAAUAACAUCCUCUGUUUCUCCACCAUCUUGGUUGGACUCUGCUCUGUCUCCAUCCUGUUUUGAUCAAGGUAAUUUGAGACUUUGUUUUGAAGCUGUCUGACUCAGGUAAUGCUGCAGCACAUACCCAAAGCAUCAGUGCCCUGCUGCUGGCCCCCUUCAAACCCCAUUCUCACUAAUGGAUUCUUCAUGGUCUUGGCUUCCUCGUGUCAACAGUUUCUAAUUCGUGGUCAAGAGUGGGACGUUUCAUUGGAGGAGUCCAGAUCAUAUACUCUAACAAAGCUGCAAGAGAUGCGGGGAAAAGGUGUUUUCAUUUUCCCUACAGGGAGGUAGGCUCUGCCUUGUAGGAAAGGUGUGUGAGAUACCAGUGACCAAAAAUGUGACUAAGGACCACUUCAGAUAACAAUGGACUUGUGAAAGAUUGUGAUAUGACACAUGAACACUUAACUCAGAGUCUGGCGUGGAGAGGACAUGUGAUCCCUGUGCUGAGAUUUAUACUACUCUGUAAAUCCACAGUGUCAAUCAAGGGUGCUCCUCCAUACUUUAAUCUUUGAUUUUUCAGCAGGUGAAAGACAAAAGGACCUUGAACACAGUAUGGCUUGCUGCCCUUCCAGAUGCAGAGGCAGCUCCAGUCCUGCUGCCAGGCGGACAGGUGACUGGGUUUUUCCAUUGUGGUGAUGAAUUGGGCUGAGUCAUCAUCCCUCUCCGGUCCCCUCAUGACCAUGACUGGGAGAAAGUAAAAAGAACCAGCUGAUGGAGUUGGGGGUGCAGUUGAAUUGUCUGAAAUCCUUGUCCCUUAGCUGGGGGAGGCAGCAACUGUCUUCCCCUCUCCACUAACACUCCCUACUCACUAAUCAUGAGCCACACAGCCUCAGGGAGAGAAGAGGAGGUCCUGUCUCUCCAUUAAUAGUAUUGAUUGAAUGCCUGUUUGGUGCUGUGCCUGUGCUGUGGGCUUCAUGGGAGAACCAGAGCUGACUGGGACACUGACCUUGCCCUUAAGGUUCAUGCACUCAUGUAGAAAACCAGCUCAGAGGGGGUGGCGCCUGUGGCUCAGCGAGUAGGGCGCCGGCCCCAUAUACCAAGGGUGGCGGGUUCAAACCCAGCCCAGGCCAAACUGCAACAAAAAAAUAGCUGGGCGUUGUGGCGGGCGCCUGUAGUCCCAGCUGCUCGGGAAGCUGAGGCAAGAGAAUCACGUAAGCCCAAGAGCUGGAGGUUGCUGUGAGCCGUGUGACGCCACGGCACUCUAUCGAGGGCAGUAAAGUGAGACUCUGCCUCUACAAAAAAAAAAGAAAGAAAACCAGCUCAGAGACCCAUAAUUCAGAUACUACACAGAUUCUGCUACAUGCUCAGCUCUAUGCCUCCCUGAGCCUAGGAUAGGGGCUGCUAUCCUAGAUGUGUAAUUGAGGUUACCAUGGAGUACAGUAGAGAACUGGAGGGUUCAGCAAGGUCUUCCGUGAGAUAGAACUGAGCCCCUAAGAGGUGGAAAGUCAGCAGAUGGAGGUAGUAGGUGGGGUGAAUGGGAAGAGAACUCCUUCCAUCCAUCUAUCCAUCUGUCUACCCACCUAUUCAUUUAUCUAUCCACCCAUCCACCCCUUCAUCUAUCCAUUCAUACAUCUAUCCAUCCAUCCACUCAUCCAUCCAUCUAUCUGUCUACCCACCCGUUCAUCCAUUUAUUCACCCACCCACCCCUCCAUCCAUCCAUUCAUACAUCUACACAUCCAUCUAUCCAUCUGUCCAUCUGUCUGUCCAUCCAUCCACCCACCCAUCCACUCAUUUACCCAUUCAUCCAUCUAUCCAAUCAUCUAUCCAUCCUACAUUGGGUCAGCCAACCCCUAUCCUAGGCUCAGGGAGGCAUAGAGCUGAGCAUGUUGCAGCCCUGUCUUCCAACAGGAGCUCCUGGAUUGAGAUGGAGAAGGCCGGGUAUUCAUGAGCAGAUGGCGAGGAAGCUGGAAUGAGGAAGCGGGUGGGGGAGAGUGCCUGGCCUCAGUCUGGCUCUGGAAUUUCACCAGCUGCCAGAUUAUCUGCUUCCUGCUCUUGAGCCACCCUAGCCACUCACUGGUUUCCCCGAAAGAUGGGACUUGAUCAAGGGAAAGGUGCCCUUCAUGCCUCUUUGGGUCUCAGCAGGCUCCUGAUGUGUGGCACAGUCUGUCCCCUCUUCCCACCCACAAGAACCACCUUGUGAGCACAGUUUUGUCUUUGCCAAGCCAGCCAACACAUUCAGCAAGCUCCCGAGUUCCCAAGCAAAGCAGCGGCAGCAGCAGCAACAAAGUCCCAGCUCCCCAGCCCCUCGUCCUGGUGUGUGUAUGGGUAAGGCAAGGGCUGUGGAAGGCCCAGGGACACAGCUUGAAGAGCCUGCCAUGCUGGCAAUGGGACAACCAAGGUGUCUGAUCAGUGUCCAGGAAGCCAUGAGCCCUGAGCUCCAGCAUCCUCACCAUUGUAUCCAGUCCUUCGCUGGGCCAAAGGGCUCUUGGUGUAGCGCUACGCCCAGCCUGCCUGCUGCCAAGGCCUGAAGCUGAGCUGGUGAGAGGUUGUGAAGGCCCCCUGGCAUCCUGUUGAAUCUCUGGAUCCCGGGCUAGGGGAAGCUAUGCUCCCCCUGGCACUCUUCCCUCCGUGUCAACACUGUGUGCCUCCCCAGAGAGUGGCACACAGUCCCCUUGACCCUCCUUCUGCACCCUUUCCCACUCUGGCAGUCACCACUCACCUUAUCAACAAAAUAAA